GAAUCUUCCACAAUGGACGAAAGUCUGAUGGAGCAAUGCCGCGUGAGUGAAAAAGGUUUUCGGAUCGUAAAACUCUGUUGUGAGGGAAGAACAAGUACGUGAGUAACUGCUCGUACCUUGACGGUAACAAAUUUGAACGCCACGGCUAACUACCUGCCAGCAGCUGCGGUAAUACGUAGGUGGCAAGCGUUGGCCGGAAUUAUUGGGCGUAAAGCGCGCGCAGGCGGUCCUUUAAGUCUGAUGUGAAAUCCCACGGCUCAACCGUGGAAGGUCAUUGGAAACUGGGGGACUUGAGUACAGAAGAGGAAAGCGGAAUUCCAAGUGUAGCGGUGAAAUGCGUAGAGAUUUGGAGGAACACCAGUGGCGAAGGCGGCUUUCUGGUCUGUAACUGACGCUGAGGCGCGAAAGCGUGGGGAGCAAACA
rnacentral:rRNA from 1 species